AAUGGAAUGUGGGAUCAUUGUUCCUACAAGGACUACAAAGUUCAAAUGAAAGGAACACAGUGUUGAGACUGCUUGGAGCCUUAUGAAAAUGAGACUGCUAUUUUCUAUAGAUAUUCUAUCAGAGGUCCAUUGAAAGUGAAAGGAAUGGAGACACUCUAUAGGAACAGCAACUUUACAAGUAAUACAAUGGCACUAAUUUUGUAUCUAUCAAAAAUUCUCUGAAUAUAAAUGGAUUAAAUGCUCCAAUAAAAAGACAAAGGGUAUCAGAAAGGAUUAAAAAAAAAAAAGACCCAUCAAUAUGCUGCUUACAAGAGACUCAUUUUAAACCCAAA